CGGUACCACUAUCAGUUUCCGACGGCGACGCGCGGAGGACAGUUCUCAGAACCUUGUGCACACACGCGGCCAUCCCCACACGCAGACACAAGCACAAAUACAUACACUAUACACGCAGGGACACAUAAACACAUACAAACACACAUACACACCCGAAAAGACCCACAUCAACCAACAUGCCUACAUCUACAGCCGUAUGCUCCGAAACAGACAGAAACACACCAACUCAUGUACGCACUCUGACACACGCCUCCUCGGCCAGCCAAUCUGAGAGGCCCCCUGAGGGUACGCCCACUUUAAGAACUCGCUCGCUGGCCACUUGACAGCGCGCAUCUCAACGAAGGUUUAAAGAAUAGAGAAUUCCCGAGACCACUUCUGCGAGCGAGGCAACCCCGCUACGACGCCCGGGGUGUGCGCCUCGAGAACUCCAAGGGCGAAGUCACUGCAGAUGAAGUCAGACCAAAAGAAGUCCUGCGCCCACAAGGAAGAUUUUCCCGACCGGGCCCACACUUUCACCCAAACCAAGCUGGGUAACAACGGGAUGGGGUUCGAUUGUCUGAUUGUUACUUGAAUUCAGGCCAGGGAGCCGUGGUAUAUCUGUAUCCCGUAGCUUUUACAAGAACGCUAAACUUCAAGUAAGAUUUUUUUUUUGAAAGGUUAAACCAAAAUAAUCUACAAAUAUUUUUGAUUACAUACGA